rnacentral:rRNA from 1 species
UCCGUAGGCGGGCAAUUAAGUCAGAGGUGAAAGUUUGCGGCUCAACCGUAAAAUUGCCUUUGAAACUGGUUGUCUUGAAUUAGUAUGAAGUGGUUAGAAUGAGUAGUGUAGCGGUGAAAUGCAUAGAUAUUACUCAGAAUACCGAUUGCGAAGGCAGAUCACUAAUACUAUAUUGACGCUGAUGGACGAAAGCGUGGGGAGCGAACAGGAUUAGAUACCCUGGUAGUCC